GAAGAGAGCAACAAGGUAUCCAGCUGAUGAUGAUGCCUCGGCACCAGAACCUGAAGUGGCAGCCCCACAACUUGAAGUUGUUGUGACUCCCAAUAGGGACAUGAUCACUAUGCCACUUAGUCUUCAAGGCAGUCCAAUCCAGUGACAAGAAGGAUGUUGGCUACGACGUUGGCUGAUGAGGCAACACAUGCAGCACCACAACUUGAAGUUGUUGUGACUCCCAAUAGGCACAUGAUCACUAUGCCACCGAAUCUUCAAGGCAGUCCCAAUCCCGUGACUAGAAGGAUGUUGGCUAUGGCAUUGGCUGAUGAGGCAUGGCAGCAACCUACCCCAACUGUGAAGGACACCACGAUGGCAUAUGACAUGGCCUCAACCUCGAAAGCUAGGAAGUUGACCCCGAAGAGAAGGAAGAUCUAGUGUUGUGCAUCAUCUUCUAUGUUCUCUAUGCUUUUGGUUGUAAUAUGUCAGACUUGGCACGCAUUACUUUGUGUGCAACAUGGCACCAAUUAUUGCCUUAUGUUUUUGGUUGUAAUAUGCCAGACUUGGCAGCCCCUACUAAUUUGUGCAACAUCACAGCCUUAUGUUA